CCUUGGAACAACUUCAAAGGUUGCUUGUUUGCACCCCACAAUUAACAGAGCUUGGUACUGGCUCUUUUUCACAAGAGCUCACUGAACGCCAAUACACUGAGCUUGAAAACACAUUCAAACAUUGCAAGAACCUAGAUACCCUUUCUGGUUUAUGGGAAGUUAUGACGCCAUAUUUACCAGUUCUCUACCCAGCUUGUACAAACUUGACUUUCUUAAAUUUGAGCUAUGCUGCUUUGCAAGGUCUGGAACUUGCUAAUCUUCUUCGUCACUGCCCACAACUCCGUCGUCUAUGGGUUCUGGACACUGUUGAGGACAAAGGACUGGAGGCUGUUGGAUCAAACUGUCCUUUGUUGGAGGAACUCCGUGUCUUCCCUGCUGAUCCCUUUGAUGAGGAAAUUGUCCAUGGGGUGACUGAAGCAGGGUUUGUUGCUGUGUCUUAUGGUUGUCGGAGACUUCACUAUGUUCUCUAUUUUUGCAGGGACUAAUGCUGCAGUAGCAACAAUUGUGCAAAACUGCCCAAAUUUCACCCAUUUCCGUCUCUGCAUUAUGAAUCCAGGUCAACCAGAUUACAUGACAAAUGAACCCAUGGAUGAGGCUUUUGGUGCAGUUGUGAAGACUUGCUCUAAACUUCAGAGACUUUCGGUUUCAGGUCUCUUGACUGAUCUGACAUUCGAGUAUGUUGGGAGGUAUGCCAAAAAUUUGGAAACUCUUUCAGUAGCUUUUGCUGGCAGCAGUGACUGGGGGAUGCAAUGUGUGCUGGGAGGUUGUCCAAAGUUGAGGAAACUUGAGAUAAGGGAUUGCCCAUUUGGAAAUGCAACACUUCUCUCGGGUUUGGAGAAGUACGAAUCUAUGAGGUCACUUUGGAUGUCAUCCUGCAAUGUGACAAUGAAUGGCUGUCGGCUAUUGGCAAGGGAGAUGCCACGAUUGAAUGUGGAGGUAAUGAAGGAGGAGGGGAGUGAUGACAGUCAGGCUGAUAAAGUUUAUGUUUACCGUUCUGUUGCAGGGCCAAGAAGAGAUGCCCCUCCUUCUGUCCUGACUCUUUCAGGUAUAUAACUUUUCACAGAAGGCACUUCACCAAAAUGCAGACGUUGGGGAUGCAAUCCAUAUUUUUGUGAUAUGGAUGGUUAGAAAGAAGAUGAGAAGGGUCAAUGAAAAUUGAAUUCAUUCUUCUGCUGUUUAUUCUCUCAUGCUGAGAAUAUUGGAAUAUGGAAGUGAAAACGAUACAAUAAAAACAAAGCUCAUUCAUCAACAAUCUCCAGUGGAGCAAACAAGUUUGCUUCAUCUACUUGAUUUACCACGCCCCUAAAUAGCAGAAUUGCAAGACUGCCAGUAUAGAAGUAGAUGAAGCAGCCUUGGUAAUGGGUCACGAAGGAACUCUGCCCACUAUGCAAUGCCACCCAGAUCCAUGUAGCCUGUCAAAAUCCUGCAAUAACAAGAGAGACUCAAACAUCCUUUUCCUUAAUUAUUGAAUUCACAAUAUUGAAUUGGUAUGGGUCUAAUAUCAAAUUGGUUGAGGAGUUACCUCUUUUAUGAAGCAGGCGAUACCAGUUGAUUCGGUGACAUCAAAGAUAUCAAGGGCCAUUGCAGCUAAGUGAAGGGCAUCCUGCUGCACGGUUUGAAGCAUGUCAGUCGCACCAGCAACAGCUUUGCCUUCUAACAUGGCUGAAGAAAGCUAUGUUAUUGAGAGAUGGUGAGAGAAAUAAAAGGAGAAAGCAGUGGAUAUUGAAGGCGAGGUUUCUGGUGGGCUUGUAUAGACCCACAUCAACUGGUGUGGAAAAAGCCUGGUAUUGUAAUUCACAGUCUGAUGGAAUCGAUACGUUCGGAUGCACCUAUAAAUAUGCAAGUGCAGUGGACAAAGGACCAAUUCUGAUCAACAUCUUGUUGGGUGGUCAGUGGCCAAAGAGAAUUGUAUCUGGGUCCAAAUUAUCUUGGAGAUGUGGUAUGUUUGUGGUUGAAUGGCUACUAUUUGCCAAUAAUUUCCUGGAUCCUGGCGAAUGUUGUAACGUUGAUGACCGUUUGUCUUUUUGUCUGUGCUUCUGCAUCUUUUUCUUUUCAUUUUAUUUUAUUCCAAAGACCUUUGAAUUGGCUUUUGUUCUUAGUUCUAUUCA
rnacentral:misc_RNA from 1 species